GCUGCUGUUGCUACUUAAGUCAUUCGACAUCAGGCUGCUGGACACACAACAGCUCAGGGAGGCGGAUAGCAGCAGUGAGCUCUCUUCUCUCGUAGGAUGAACACUUUCCCAGCGCUCACAGAAGAGAAGAAACCCAUCUGAACUCGCUGACAUACAGAAACACUUUCAUCGAACCUGUCGUUAGAAAGUGCUUCAGCCUCGAAGAGCGAAAACAAACCACAACAGACGGUACACAGCAGCCGAUCCUCCGGAUUCUCUCCUUUUCCUCUGGAACCAUGGUGUCAGCGGUCAUUAAGAUGUAUCUGUUUGGAUCGGUGCUUUCCAUCUUCGCUGUCUUCUAUGCCAUCGUGGACUCCUUCGGCGGCCUCAUGUACGUCCAGGACCAUCACUACAGCCGACCGGCGGAUGUGGACCUCCACACCGAAAGGCAGCUCCCCUCAACCGGCCACCGGAGAGGAGCGUCUGUAAACAGAAACAUGGGCUCAUGAGGAAGUUGCGCCACUCAACUUGUUGGACAUGCUCUGCACUUUGAAAAGACUGUUUGUUGACACGGAUGCGUCGCCCCACAGGAUGUUCUGUUUUAUACCAUCUGCUGUCCAGAACUGUGGCAGCUAGACUGUGUCAAAUCAACUACAAAUCUGUUGACAAAUGUUACAGCACUACUGAACAAUUUGCACUAAAGUUUGAAUGUUGUGACUUUUUUUUUCUUUUUCUUUUUUCAAUAAAAUGAUUAACAAAACA